UAAUGGGUUGGUGCAAAAGUAAUGGCGGUUUUUGCCAUUACUUUCAAUAGCAAAGAUUGCCAUGACUUUUGCACCAACUCAAU
rnacentral:miRNA from 1 species